rnacentral:lncRNA from 1 species
CAGCAAUUUUUGUUUUGUUUUGUUUUUGACAGGGCUGUCACCCAGGCUGGAGUGCAGUGGUGCCAUCACAGCUCACUGCAGCCUCGACCUCCUAGGCUAAAGUGAUCCUCCCAACUCAGCCUCCCGUAGCUGGGACUACAGGAAUGUGCCACGCCCAGGUAAUCUUAAUUUUUUGUGGAGACGAGGUCUUGCUAUGUGGCCCAAGCAGAUCUCGAACUCCUGAGCUCAAGGGAUCCUCCCACCUUGGUCUCCCAAAGUGCUGGGAUUUGCAGGCGUGAACCACCACACCUGGCCAUAAACCAACUUCUCAUUGCUUACCUGGCUUUCCAAGAAAAGAGAGAGGGCAGAGGGAAAAUAUUUAUUAUUUUGCUAUGUACUGAGUAUUCUAAGCAUGGACUUGUAUCGUCUCUGUUCUCUCAACAACCUCUCUAAAACUUCAACGUAGAAAUUUCCAUCUUAAAAUUAAGCGACAAGAACUAGAAAUGGCAAGUAAUUCAUCCAGAGGUUACUGGGAUUUGAAUACUGGACAGGCAGAUCCCCCUCAUUUCAAAUUAAUACUACAUUAGCUGUCUUUUUUAUUUCUUUUUUCUUUUUGUUUGUUUGAGACAGGAUCUCGCUUUGUACGCCAGGCUGGAGUGCAGUGGCGCGAUCCUGGGUCACCUCCCAGAUUCAAGCAAUUCUGUGCCUCAGCCACCAAGUAUCUGGGACUACAGGCGUGAGCCCGGCUAAUUUUUGUAUUUUUAGUAGAAACAGAGUCUCACCAUAUUGCCCAGGCUGGGCUCAAACUCCUGGCCUCAAGUGAUCCUCCCACUUCUGCCUCCCAAAAUGCUGGGAUUAGCACCUGACCUUACGUUAGCAAUCCUGUUGACUUAUUUAAGACAAAACGUGCUUUAAGACAAAAUCUGUGCCAAAGGUUUUCAGAUAAAGAUAAAAUUAGCAAUGUAACCAUAAAAUUCAAAGUUGCCUUGGGCUGAGUUGGUAGAAUGUUUAUGCAGAUCAAGGAACUCCAAAAGUUAAAAAACAGAAGUGGAAGUGAGCAUUAGGGAAUGGGGAAAGAGUUGGUGGAGAGAGGAAAUAUUUGUGUAAACAUUUAACCAUCUCCAAACACCAGCAAAGAACAGUUGAAACGAUUUGCUAUACUCACUGUCCACCCGUGUUAACUUUAUGGUAUGUGACAUACAGCAAAAAUUACAUGUAAUUUUUGACUAAGCCUUUUAGCUCUUUCAAUCCCUUCGUAGUAUGUCACCCCCUCUCUUCCCAUAAUUAAAAAUUAUAAGACACCUAGUAAAUAUAAUACACUCAUAGAAUUAAGUUAUAAGUCCAUCAAGUACAUUUCCAAUUGGAAGUUAAGAGUGAUGCUGACCCUUCACAGUUGACUGGGCUGAAGUUGGGAACUGAUUCAAUAAACUUCCACCACAAGGAUGUCAAAUUGCUCCUCAGGGUAUUCUCAGAGAGUCUUUUCCCUAGGCUUGAUCUCCUUACCCUAAGUGUUAGGACACACCAUUCCUCUCUUGCUUGCAGUAUUCAAUGACUUUACCCACUAAUAAAAUGAUAGUAAAUAGUAAGAGUGAAUAUGGCUUGUAAGUAAUGCUAACAAAACUGUGAUGGCUUAGCAAAGUAAAAGAUGGUUUUAUGGUCAGUAAGUUUGGAUUAAAGCUUACUAAAGCUUGAUGCUUUGUUACCAGUCUGCUAAAGAACUACCUUCUUAAUUUGAUUUCCUACUUACUGGAUACCUAUUGGAAAACUAGAGAGAUAUGAUAGGCUUUCAUUUAUUGCUGCCGUAAAUAAAUUUUUAAAAUAGAGAAAUAACAGCUUUGUCAUUAGUGUAGAGCACAGUUUGCCUCUGCUAGGUCAGUAUUGGGCUUGCUUCGUUUAAGUCAUUAACCAUUAGGAUCACCCAACUUGUCCUGCCUAAAAGCCUACUGAAAAAACAUGCAUAUAACUUUUGCAUAUUUAUUUUGCUACUUAUUGUUGAUUUUCUAUAGGAAACUAUUUAUACUCCUCAGUGUAUAUGGCCAACUUGGAAGUUCUACUUCCUAUAAUUAUGUCAGCAGUUAGUGAAGAUGAUCAAAACAGCCAUUCUGAAUUUAAUAAACAGAUGAGCCUCAGACUCUGGAUCUCCAUGACCCAACCCUAUGAGGCUCUGCCUGAAGAACCAAUCAAGCUUCCCACUUUGAUAUUUUAGUGACUGUAGCAUCUUGUUCCUCUUCUAAAUUAAACACCACAGAUGCUCCCAUUUCAUGGCUGUGUAGGCACGAUGGACUCACCACUGCCUUCCAUACCACCACCUGGUUUAUACAAUAAUUUUCCAAUUCUAGUUGUCCAAAACGAAGCUAUACAAAACUCACAAAUCCAUUAUUGUCUUCCAUGUAGAGAUAAAAAAGCAAGGAAUAUGCUUGUUAAAAAGCAUGCAAUACUUUAUGAAUCCUCGGUGAUGUACUUUUUGGGCUCGCUGCUGCUGGAGAUUUUGCUAAUGCCCCUACACGUUUUAAUGCAGU